rnacentral:rRNA from 1 species
UGGGGAAUAUUGGACAAUGGGCGCAAGCCUGAUCCAGCCAUGCCGCGUGAGUGAUGAAGGCCCUAGGGUUGUAAAGCUCUUCACCGGUGAAGAUAAUGACGGUAACCGGAGAAGAAGCCCCGGCUAACUUCGUGCCAGCAGCCGCGGUAAUACGAAGGGGGCUAGCGUUGUUCGGAUUUACUGGGCGUAAAGCGCACGUAGGCGGACUUUUAAGUCAGGGGUGAAAUCCCGGGGCUCAACCCCGGAACUGCCUUUGAUACUGGAAGUCUUGAGUAUGGUAGAGGUGAGUGGAAUUCCGAGUGUAGAGGUGAAAUUCGUAGAUAUUCGGAGGAACACCAGUGGCGAAGGCGGCUCACUGGACCAUUACUGACGCUGAGGUGCGAAAGCGUGGGGAGCAAACAGG